UCUGUCUUGGAAUUUGAUUUUUGAUAGAAUUUGUUCUACCAAUUUCCGAUUAUAUCCUCUUACUAACAGUUUUUCAAUAAAGAUAUUUUUUCUGGUUUGAAAUUCACUUUCAUUGUUGGUGUUUCUAAGUAUACGAAUGCCUUUGCCUUUAAUAAAAGAUUUAAAGUUUGAGAUGGGAUGGUUUGAGUUUUUCUAAAGAUAUUGGAAUUUUUCGGUUUUCUUUGUAAAACAUUUCAGGUCUAAAACACCAGUAUUUUUGAAGCGUUCGCCCUUGAAGAUUUCAAGGUCUAGAAAUUUUAUGGACUUUUUAUUGCAUUCAUAAGUGAACUUUAGCAGGUCAUGUUGUUUUUUUGCAUUUUCAAACAUAAAGUCAAUUUCAGACUCUUUUGCUUUCACCAUUAGAAGUCCAUCAUCUCUCAUUCUUUUAUGAACAAUAUUUUUUUCGGAGAUUGGAGAGUUU
rnacentral:lncRNA from 1 species